AGAAUUGAUCUGGUUCAGGAUGAACGCUAGCUACAGGCCUAACACAUGCAAGUCGAGGGGCAGCAGAUCGAAAGCUUGCUUUGAUGCUGGCGACCGGCGAAUGGGUGAGUCACGCGUGUCCAACCUGCCCUGUGCCCGGGGAUAGCCCUUGGAAAUGAGGAUUAACACCCGAUAGGUGGCGCUUCCGCAUGGCGGCGCCAUGAAACCGACACAGGAUGGGGACGCGUCGGAUUAGCUUGACGGCGGGGCGACGGCCCACCGUGGCGACGAUCCGCAGGGUUCUGAGAGGAAGGUCCCCCCACACUGGCACUGAGACACGGGCCAGACUCCUACGGGAGGCAGCAGUGAGGAAUAUUGGUCAAUGGCCGAGAGGCUGAACCAGCCAAGUAAGCGUGCAGGACGACGGCCCUACGGGUUGUAAACUGCUUUUGCGGGAGGAUAAAGGACACUACGUGUAGUGUUUUGCAGGUAUCCCGUGAAUAAGGACCGGCUAAUUCCGUGCCAGCAGCGGC
rnacentral:rRNA from 1 species